rnacentral:lncRNA from 1 species
UGCUAAGUGUCGAUUGUAAAAAGGGAGAAAAAAAAACCGUGGGAAAACCUAUCUGAACAUAACACGGAAGAACUACCAACUUCUGGUUUAAAUUAGAAAACCACAACAAGGUCAAUUAACACACCUGUGGAUAUAUACCUCUACAUACUAAUUCGAACUUCCUGUUUCUAGUAAUUUUAAUUUAACACAUUAAAAGUAUAAUUCAGUACAAAUGUUAUUCUCGG